CCUACGGGAGGCAGCAGUAGGGAAUCUUCGGCAAUGGGCGAAAGCCUGACCGAGCAACGCCGCGUGAGCGAUGAAGGCCUUCGGGUCGUAAAGCUCUGUUGUUAGAGAAGAACAAGUACGAGAGUAACUGCUCGUACCUUGACGGUACCUAACCAGAAAGCCACGGCUAACUACGUGCCAGCAGCCGCGGUAAUACGUAGGUGGCAAGCGUUAUCCGGAAUUAUUGGGCGUAAAGCGCGCGCAGGCGGUCUCUUAAGUCUGAUGUGAAAGCCCACGGCUCAACCGUGGAGGGUCAUUGGAAACUGGGAGACUUGAGUGCAGGAGAGAAAAGUGGAAUUCCACGUGUAGCGGUGAAAUGCGUAGAGAUGUGGAGGAACACCAGUGGCGAAGGCGGCUUUUUGGCCUGUAACUGACGCUGAGGCGCGAAAGCGUGGGGAGCAAACAGGAUUAGAUACCCUGGUAGUCCACGCCGUAAACGAUGAGUGCUAGGUGUUGGGGGGUUCCACCCUCAGUGCUGAAGUUAACACAUUAAGCACUCCGCCUGGGGAGUACGACCGCAAGGUUGAAACUUCAAAGUUAGUUAGUAGGCGNGNGAGNGCGACGAGCACAGGAGGAG
rnacentral:rRNA from 1 species